UCACACAAUAUAUCCUCUUUUUUGUGAAGAUGCAAUCAGAUUACUUCGCUCCCGUAAGAUGUGCCGUACCUACUCUGAGGGUGCUUACUAUGAUCUUGAGAGGAGGACUAGGCAUGAGAGAAGAGUGCCUAAUACAUAUUACGAUGACACAACCUAUACUCCUGAAAGGUGGUACAAUGGUGCAAGUUCAUGGGCAGAUCAUAUAGUCAAUGGUUCAGCUGAAAAUUAUGGGUAA